CACUACCUCGGAACUGACUGACCAAUGUCUUCAUGAAGACUGAGUCACAUGAGCAGAAAUGGAAAUCCUGGUUGGUGACCGCUUGUCAGUCAACCGCUGAGUUGAGCUUAGAAGACCACUGCAGACAUCACGUCACCGUUCUCACCGGGUCGUCAGCGCGUUUGCGUGGCCGCCUUGAUGUGUCGCGGCUCGGGUGAUGGAGCGUCUUCUUCCUCCGCUGACUUGUGACGCAGCAAACGCAAGACGGACGAUGGUCCGCUGAUGAAAAGGACUUGUUUGUUCAUUCACGCGCAGACGUGCGACGAUGGAUGAAUUGCACCAGAUAAAAUAUCUUCCGCCGAACGAUUGUUUCACGCCGCCGUCCCAACCGGAAGUCGUGGAGGAUUUCAAACAGAUGACAAAUGUCAA